CCUACGGGAGGCAGCAGUGAGGAAUAUUGGUCAAUGGACGAGAGUCUGAACCAGCCAAGUAGCGUGAAGGAUGACUGCCCUAUGGGUUGUAAACUUCUUUUAUAUGGGACUAAAAUGUUCCACUUGUGGGAUUUUGUAUGUACCUUAUGAAUAAGAAUCGGCUAACUCCUUGCCAGCAGCCGCGGUAAUACGGAGGAUCCGAGCGUUAUCCGGAUUUAUUGGGUUUAAAGGUGGCGUAGGUGGAUUGUUAGGUCAGUUGUGAAAGUUUGCGGCUAAACCGUAAAAUUGCAGUGGAAACUGGCAGUCUGGAGUACAGUAGAGGUGGGCGGAAUUCGUGGUGUAGCGGUGAAAUGCUUAGAUAUCACGAAGAACUCCGAUUGCGAAGGCAGCUCACUGAACUGCAACUGACACUGAGGCUCGAAAGUGUGGGUAUCAAACAGGAUUAGAUACCCUUGUAGUC
rnacentral:rRNA from 1 species